AAAAAGAGUCUUGCUAGAUUAGAAUAGUUUCUAGGCCAGUAUUCUAAUACCAUAAUGGCCAACCUGAUGUGUAUGGGAAGCCUCCAAACAGGAGGACAUGAGAGCCACAGUACACUUCAGCUUGAGCUCCUUGGAAAUGAUAUUGAGAGGCAUGCUGUUUCUGAUAUGGAGGGAAUAGGUACUACCCUGAACUGUUUUCAGCACGUGACAGUCUUAACUUGAACAGAAGUCCCACCUCCUCCAAUCAAUGCCUUUUGAUGGUAGGGAAUGUGUAUAUAUGCACCUCUGGUUACACUUGUUUCUGGUUUUCUCUGCAUUUUAUUUAUAUAGUUGUUUCAUUCACUGAGUUCAUCCAUAUCCCAGUGGUCUUCACCUUCAUGUGAGGAUACUCUUUCAACCAACCCCUUAAAAAUUUAUUGCCUUCUGUUCCUAAAUAUAGCAGGUACUAGGAGUAUGCAUCCCAGGACUAAUAUCCCCAGCACAGACAAGUUAAAAUACUGCCCCAUUAUUAUCCCAAGCACAAGAGCUGCAAGGUAUAGUGGCUGCUGUCAUAAAGAGAUUCCAGUCUUCACUAGAUAAUAUUUGGAGUUAAUUCUUAUAGGGUCCACAUUUUUACUUUUUCCACUAAGUACUGAUUCAUCUUUUAUUUUCAGAAUAUCUGUCUUGUUUUGUGAUACUGAAUCCCUCAACAGUUUCAUUUUUUUAUACCAAUCACAGACAUACAGUCUUACAGAGCAACAACACAGAUACAGUUCCUUGCACCCAGCUUAUGAAUCUAAAAUCUGACACAGGGAAAGAUGAGGGUAUUGGUAUGAAGUGGUAAUGAAAAGUUCUUGGCCCAAUCAAGAAGGUAAUGACCUAGAGCCAUGAAAUUUACAUGCUAUUCCACAUAUUCACCCAGAAUAGUUUCUCAGGUUUCUUUAACCCUUUCAAAAAGGAUUGUCUAAAAUACUGCUCUGCUGCUUUCACUUCUGAAUCAUUCAAAAAUGUCUUUCCUUGCAAACUUUUGAAGGUUAGAAAACCAGAAAUAGUAAGAUGGAGCAAGAUCUGGUGAAUAGAGUGGAUAUACUCAGACCCCAAAUUCUUCAAAACAUCCAUUGUCUUGCCAGACCUGUGAGCAGGUGCAAUUGUCCUUCAAAAAAAAAGAACAUCUUUCUGCAGACUACCUCACCAUUUUCCUGUCACUGUCUCCUUUAAUUGGCAUAGCAAGUUAGAUCGGUAUUCUGCAUUAACUGUUUGGCUCUUCUAAAGAUAGUAAUCAAAAUACCUUCCUUAUCCCAAAAAACAUCUGGCCAUGACCUUUCCUGUUGACCUUGCGAGGAGUAUGUGAGGAGUGAAUGUAAUUCUAGUGGCAAUGAGGAGCUGAAACAAGAUGGAGAACCACAAUGCAUGAUGUGGGAGUUACUUGGCAAGCGAGACGAGGGUUUUUGAAAACUGCUGAUGUGCGAUGGCGUAGCCAAACCUUGGGUGCAGCUGCCUAUCUGUAAGAUGUCCAGAACUGUGAGAACAGCAACAGAUUAAUAAAGGAUGUAAGGAACUGUUCAAUCUAAGGGUGUUGGUUAACAUUAAAGGAAAGGAUUCUUGAAGAAAGGAAAAAGGGUGAUGGAUGUUGAAAAGUAGAAGGCCUUAAAAGAAAGACUUUCCAAACCAGAGGUGUGUUCCUGCAACCGCAGUGGCGGGAACUCUCAUGAGCUUUGUGAGGGCGACUGAUCACCAACUUCAGCAGAUUGCCACCUGUGUGUGUGAGUAUAUGUGUGUGUGUGAGAGAGCUCUCUUGAUACUUAAUGUGUUAUGUUUGUGAGUUAAUAAAUGUUACAUGUAUAGUGAUUAAAUUCCAAA